rnacentral:rRNA from 1 species
AGAGUUUGAUCAUGGCUCAGGAUGAACGCUAGCGGCGGGCCUAAUACAUGCAAGUCGAACGGAACUACUGAUUUCGGUUGGUAGUUUAGUGGCAAACGGGUGCGGAACACGUACGCAACCUUCCCAUAACUAGUGAAUAGCCUUCCGAAAGGGAGAUUAAUACACCGUAACAUAAUGAAGUGGCAUCACUUUAUUAUUAUAGCUCCGGCGGUUAUGGAUGGGCGUGCGCCUGAUUAGGUAGUUGGUAGGGUAACGGCCUACCAAGCCUUCGAUCAGUAACUGGUGUGAGAGCACGACCAGUCACACGGGCACUGAGACACGGGCCCGACUCCUACGGGAGGCAGCAGUAAGGAAUAUUGGUCAAUGGACGCAAGUCUGAACCAGCCAUGCCGCGUGAAGGAUGAAGGCCCUCUGGGUUGUAAACUUCUUUUAUCUGGGACGAAAAAUAGGCUUUCCAGCUUACUUGACGGUACCAGAGGAAUAAGCACCGGCUAACUCCGUG